rnacentral:lncRNA from 1 species
CCUCCCCUGGGCUGAGACCACCUCAAGGAGCAGGUGAGGACUUCCACUCACCUUUGAGCCCAAGACUCACAGGAAUAGGAGCUCCACACAGGUGCUGAGUGGGUGAAGAACUGACAAUGGAAUAACAUGCAUGGGUGUGAUUUCUAACACACCUCCUCCCUCUCCGUUGCAGUGGAAUCCUGAGAACAAUGUAACACACAGGUUUGAGUGAUUUAAAUCCUCAUCAUCCAGAAACAGCAGGGCAAAAUGUCCUGGAAAAGUUGGGAGUCACCACGGACAGAUGUCUCCUGUGGGCACCCAGGCAGUGUGGACACCACUUAUGAGGGUGGGACCCAGCCAGCCCUUGGCUCUUGGCCCUUCCCCAGAUGUGAAUGUGCAAUUGUCUGUGGAGCACUCACUCUGGGAUCAUUCUGCCCUGGGUCAUUCAGGCUGGCAAUGUCAUCCACAGUAACCAAGGUCCUAUUUUUGCUGAUUUUCAAAUGCAGAAAAGACCUGCUGUGUGCAAGCCUAUAGGAGAGGGUCGAUCUGCUGCUUUCCUCCACCUAUCGGAAAAACUCGUUUUCAACCCUGCAUGGGGCUGCUAGGAUUUUCAGACUGCUGCCUGGGCUAUGGAAAUGUGUUCCAUGAUCUUGAUGGGAAAAAAUUAAA